UUUGUGUUGUUUAUUGGGAUCUAGGGUUCGUGGUCCACACAUACAUAUUCCUCACUCUUUUUCUAAGACUAUGGGGUCAGUUUUGUGGUCCCUACCAUUUCAUUAUAGUUUUGUAUUGAUGAGUUUUUUUUGUCUUUUCAAUGUAUAAAAAGCAGAAUGGAUGUCUUUUUUGUUGAUGUCCAUCAUGGAGGGUAUUUUUUGGAUGACACAAUGGAAGUGUACAAAGGUGAAG
rnacentral:lncRNA from 1 species